GGGUUGGGGUUAGGGUUGGGGUUAGGGUUAGGAUUGAGAGAACGAGAAAGGCAGCGUGCGCCAUUGUUAUGAAUGUGGAUAGAGGGUGCCCAAAGAAGGUGUUGGCAGCCAAGAGAGCUGAGCUGUAAAAGGGGACAUCUUGAAGAGAAGUGGCUACAGGUAGCGAACCAGCUAUUUGGUCAUCACCUAUGAGGCAAGCAUGUGAGCGUAAGAGGAAUCUGGGAGCUGAAUCGAAAAGGUGAUAGGUCGGAAACAGAGACAGGCACAUCAAGUGCUUUCCUUCUUCCGUGUAGUGAAAGACCUAGGGAAUUGUUGGUUAAGCGGGUGCGUGCGAAGGUUUGAGAAAGGGUACAGGACAGUAACGAUAGUACUGAAGCAGGAUAAAAACAAGGCUUCAUGGAAGAUGGCGUAGAGCUAGAACCAACGAUAGUAAAUGCUGACGGAGAGGAAAGCUGGACAAGCGGUCUUUUUGUGAUUAAUACCUAAGGGACGAAGUGAAUGAAACGAGGAAGCAAAAAUGCAGUAGACCCCUGAUAUCCCCAGCAACUGCUGCAGAAGGAGGUGUUCUGCCAUGGGCAAAUAGAAAGGGAAGGAUACAAUACUUACACUUUCAGACAAAUUGCCACGGCUGAAGUUGAAGAGACCAGAAAAACGUAAGCAAGCUGAGGUGCGAAAACCACGUGGAACCAGCCAAGAGCCGUCUCCAUCUCCCGCAAACAAAAGCCCGUCCUUCCUGACUAGGAAGGCUCACUGUUAGUAGCGAUCGAAAUAAUAGAUCACAGACGUAUAACGAAGGUCUGUCCGCCUUACAGCAAGUAUGCUACGUACGUGUGUUUCUGUGCGUGUGACUUCACAUGUUUGUGAAAGAUCCUAGUUUAAAAGCUAUGAGACUGCAAAUUAUUAUCUUAGGGGAAUGAUACUGAAGUGGCCAAAGUUUCUGAAGAAGGAGAGGGAGAAAGAGAGAGAGGGAGAAAGUGCACGAACUGUAAAAUUAAGAGAUGGUUUUCAGAGAUGGUUUUACCUGCCGCCUCGGGGGCUGCAGCGGGAGCUGACCCUUCCCCAACGGACGGACGGACGGUCGGACAGACGGACGCUGGCGUGGCGAUGACUCUUCAGGUGUCACGGGGUAAGGGGAAGCGUGCCGGCACCGAGCUCCGUGGCAGGCUCGCUCCCAGGUGGUGUUUCUGCCCAGUAAAACAAUAAACAGCCGCUUUAUUCUUU